rnacentral:sRNA from 1 species
ACGCGAGAAUACGUAGGAAGCAGAUAG